AACAUCUUUUGGUGAUUUUGAAGAAAAAGUGUUGUAUCAUCUGCAAGUUGACAUAUUUUUAGUGAGCAGUUUCUACCAUCUAAUUUCACCUCUAAGCCUUUGAGAUUAUUGUCUUGUCUUAGUUUAAUUGCCAUAAUUUCAACUACUAAUACGAAGGCUAACGAAGAAAUUGGACAUCCUUGUCGAAUUCCGCGAAAAAUAUUAAAACUGCUGGACACCCAACCAUUGUUGAGUAUACAACCUUUUAUGUCUGUGUACAUUGUUUGAAUCCAUCUUAUAAAACUACUUUUAAAACCAAAUUUUACUAAGGUUUCUGACAUAAAGUUCCAUUCAAGGGAGUCAAAUGCCUUGGAAAAAUCAACAAAAAGUAUGGCUC
rnacentral:lncRNA from 1 species